CACACACACACACACAGAGAGAGAUCCAGCAGGGAACUAAGCCAACUAAGGAACUUAAAUACAAACAAGAAAUGCAGUGAGAACCAAUGAACGACAAGACCAGAAAAGAAAAAUCUCGCAGCUAAGUUUCUGCAUUAAGUCAAGCUGUCAGAACUUUUCCCCUGAGAGGUUUGGACCGCGGCUUUGUCCCAGGUCAGAGCUGAGUGUGGAGACUAUCACAGGGUGGGUUAUUUUUUUAAUUGCUGUAAUGUGACAUUUAAAUCGCUUGAUUAUUAUUAUUAUUAUUAUUAUUGCAUCCUCAUAGUUGAAUACCAUUAAUUUGGUUAAUUUGCUGUGUUACUGAGAAAUUUAGUUUUCCAAUCAAAAUUUAGAUUUAUCAGCUAAGUUUCAAAUGUUUUCUUUUUUUUUUUUUUUUUUUUAGACAUCUGCUUCAGUUUCUCUAUAAAUCUGAAUUCACGGGAACAUUCACUAUUUUUCUUUCAGAUAAUUGCAUUCAGAUAUUCCGUCUUCCUUCAAAAUAUUUCUUCAAAAUAUUUCUGAUCACAAAAUGUAUAAUAAUAAUAAUAAAACAAUUUGGUAAUAAAACACGAUCUGAUAUUUUAAGGGUGUCCGUCAGUCUGUGCCUGGCAGUAGGUUGUAGGUUGAUCUAAUUCAUCCGUCCACACCUCCGCCAAUUAGAACACAAUUAGAAAUUGCAUCACACCUUUAAAUGUACUUGUGCUCUUAAUCAUUAAUGAGACUCACGGUGUCAGUCCUUCCUACGCCAACAUUGCACCUGCAGACGCCAUUCCAAGUUAAUCAGGGAGGAAGGGAGAGCGGUCGAAUGUUGUGUUUCGGGUCAGAUUAAUUAAUAUUUACUAUUUCCAUCUGUGCGGUGGCGCCAAUUAUUUCCCUUUAAAUGAAAGAUCAGUGAAAGAUUCUUAAACGGAAGAGCGAUCCAGAAAAAGAGGGCGUGGGCAUUUUGCCUUGCGCCUUUGAGUUUGUUUUGGAUCUUAUUUAUCGCACUGAGGGGAAACGCCCAUUUAAAGGCUUAAUGGAGGAUCAUACCUCCGACAUUGGUGUCAGAGGACCUGAACCUUGAUCUGAGCGAGACGGCGAGAAAAGAAUAAGGCGGAUAACGACAAAAUAAAAUAAAAGAAAUGUUCAUUUAAGCUUUAUUUUAAUAAUUGCGUGUUUUUUGGUUUGUUUAUUAUUGUUAAACAGAUAUUAUUUUUGGUCCAUAUAAUCUACAGUAUUUCUUUCCGUCAUACUUUAUUGUAGUAUUCUUAUUGUAUUCGAUUUCUGCAUGUGGAGAAAUUCUUUAAAAUGUUCUUUAAAAAUAAUGCAACUUUUAAAAUCAUAAAAGGGCCAUACUGAUAAACGUGUUCCAGUCAGCAAUUAGAAGACAAUUUGUGCACAGAAUGCACUCUGAAAUGGAGCUGCCCUGGCAUAAUGAUUUUUCUCUAGAGGACAGUUACUGUAGGCCUUGCAUUCUUCGCGCAAAGCCUAUUGUUAUUCUCCAGCUUAUCUCCCUUAUCUUAAUCUGUGCGCACUGUUUGCCUGUUGUAUUUGAAAUAGCUCGAUUACAAAUCUAUAAUCUUCCUUUUGUCAUUCAAGAUUGCAAUUUAGACUCUGUAAACAACAACAGUGGAGGGAAAAAGGCUUUUCUGAAAUAAAACAUUUUGUGCCUUAACUGAGUUUUUUUUCCCUCUUUGAGAGUGGGUGACGGGAAAGCUCGCGCAACGAAACUGAAUAAAAUUUAGCUUGUUUCUGUUUUUUCAUCGUUUUUUGAACUAGAAUCAUAGCCUCGCAUUUUUAGUAAUUUCAAGAAUAUUAAGAAACAACGCUUCGGCCAUAAUCGCAGAGAAUGAUUUAAUCCAGAGAUUACAUAAUUACUUGGUGGCUUUCUGCUGAAGAAGGUCAGUCUAUUUAGCCAACGACCUCACCCCGCCUGACUCGUGCGUAAAAACGCAAUUCGCGGAAGGAAAAUAAACGCAAAGGACAAGUGACCCUCUCUGCGCCCCUCAUUUACGAGGGGGCUCUUCUGAUCGGGUGUCUGUGUGUUCAAAGUGCUGGUGAUGUGGAGGGGGUGUUUGGUUUUGUUGUGGCUUCAGUCAGAAUAUCCCUUGCAGGUGAUGCCAGGAGCAGAUAAGAGGUCGCCGAUUCCUGCACGCUGUCUAGACCGGCUUGUGACUCAACCAGAAGAACCAGACUAAGCGAAGCGGAUUUACUGCAGUUUUUUUUUUUUUUUUUUUGCCCCCGAGAUAGUAAAUGACCACUGUCCGAUUCCUGCCACACACCAGAGGAGAUGGAGCGGGGAGAUAACAAGAAGGACAGCGCCUUCAGGCAGCGGCCCAGUUUUUAAAGGUGGAACGGGACAGACCACAUGUUCAGCGCGAAAGAAAUUCCUCCUUCAAGCUCUAGACGGUUUAUAUUUUUAAAACUUAGAGUGAUUUUUUUCUGAUCAAAUAAAAAAUCAGAUAUUUUAUUCAAUAACAGCAGAAAAAGAUGGAAGUUUGUCAGGAAGCUGCGCCUACACAAAGAUCAUGAAGACAUUUCAUGUAUUCAUCUUUUUUAUUCUUUUUAUCAGUUAAUACUCCCUUUAACGACUCGCUUUCCUAACAAUAAAUAAUAUAACAAUAAUUUACUUUUUUGUUCUUGGAGCUCAAACAACCGGCCCUUCCGAAUAAAGUAUUUUACACCACUAAUACUUUUGCAGAAUAUCAUGCUCUGACCUUAAGACAAAGAGUCAAGUGGGAUCGACAGGUAAGGUAUCAAAACUUUUCAUGUUGAAGAAACAA